rnacentral:rRNA from 1 species
CCUACGGGAGGCAGCAGCAAGGAAUUUUGCGCAAUGGGCGAAAGCCUGACGCAGCAACGCCGCGUGGGGGAAGAAGGCCUUCGGGUUGUAAACCCCUUUUCUCGGGGAAGAGGCUGACGGUACCCGAGGAAAAAGCCUCGGCUAACUACGUGCCAGCAGCCGCGGUAAUACGUAGGAGGCGAGCGUUAUCCGGAUUCACUGGGCGUAAAGAGCGCGCGGGCGGCUUUCCAAGUCCGGGGUGAAAUCUCUCGGCCCAACCGGGAGGGGUCUCUGGAUACUGGAGGGCUUGAGGGCAGCAGAGGGAGGUGGAAUUCCCGGUGUAGCGGUAAAAUGCGUAGAUACCGGGAGGAACACCGGUGGCGAAGGCGGCCUCCUGGGCUGUUCCUGACGCUGAGGCGCAAAAGCGUGGGGAGCAAACGGGAUUAGAUCCCCCUGUAGU